GGCGCAGGGUGAGGGGGACGUUUCUGGCUGUAGGAGCUGUGUUGGAGCUCCGUGGCAGCCUCCUGGAGUUUAACUGAGAACAGAGAGCAGGAGGACUUGUCCUUUCUUUUUCCCAUUUCCAUCAACAGGAUGUUUGUUUCAUUGGCCUGCAGAAGACAAUCAUUUUUAUAGGAUCAGAUAAGAGAAAGAGGUCAUGGGGAUGAAUAUUUUUAAUUGCAGGGGAGAUCCUGGCAAGGGACAGUGUUUUGUGUUUCUCUCUCAGCCAUCAGGCCCUGGAGUGUGUCCAGAGAAUAAGGACAACAAAGCUGUGAGAGGUCUGGAACACAAGUCCGAUGGGGAGCAGCUGAAGGAACUGGGGUUGUUCAGUCUGGAGAAGAGGCUCGGGGGAGACUUCAUUGCUCUCUACAGCCACCUGGAUGAAAGGAGGUUGUGGCAAGAUGGCAGACAGCUUAAUUGCUGUGGUAAACUUGUCUGACAUUUCUGGAAAAAUUUGGGUGCUACAGUAAUCCAUGGAGCCCAGUGGGCCCAAUCUUAAAUGACUCAUACACAUCUUAAUUGCUGCUUGGUUGCUGAAGUUUCACCCAGGGUUUUGGGGAUGGAGAUGUCUGGAAGCAGUUCCUGCGUGGAUCUUGUGGUAACUACAGCACUACUCCUCUAUGACUGAAAAAGGCAGUGAGUGUGGAAUGUGUGAAUGGAGCAAGCAGUUCUUGCACUUCUCUUGCUUUUCUCCAAUUGAC
ensembl:lncRNA